GAUGAAGAACGUAGCGAAAUGCGAUAAGUAAUGUGAAUUGCAGAAUUCAGUGAAUCAUCGAAUCUUUGAACGCACAUUGCGCCCCUUGGUAUUCCGGGGGGCAUGCCUGUUCGAGCGUCAUUAUAACCCCUCAAGCUCAGCUUGGUGUUGGGGCCUGCCAACUGGCAGCCCUUAAAAUCAGUGGCGGCGCCAUCUGGCUCUAAGCGUAGUAAUUUCUCUCGCUAUAGGGUCCCGGUGGAUGCUUGCCAACAACCCCCAAUUUUCUAUGGUUGACCUCGGAUCAGGUAGGGAUACCCGCUGAACUUAAGCAUAUCAAUAAGCGGAGAA
rnacentral:misc_RNA from 1 species